UUGGCGGACGCUAAGGAAUUUUCUAUUUCUGACCAAAAAUUGCGCGACAGCUUAUUUCCCUCUUUCCUUUUCCCUCGUCAUUUUUCACUCUCCCUCCAUUUCAUUUCACAACACGAAAACCCUAAUUCCAUGCUAAAUCGUGAAUCCGUUUUUUCCCAAUUUCGUGAACCGAUUCGUGAAUCCCUAAUCCGUGAAUCCAUUGAAGAAUCCCUAAUUCAAAAUCCCUCGUUAAAGGGUUUCUGAAUCAUCAAAGGUUUUCCAGAACUAUCGGCUUUGUGGAUGCUGGAAUCAACUUUUCUUUGCAAGUUUUCAAGAAUGCUCAUCUUACUUAGUGGAGGCAGUAAGCAGUUGUUGAAUGCAAGUUAAUUUGGAACCGAAGCACUAUAUCAUCCGGGAUUUUGCAAAGACAACUCUUUCUCAAGGUUAGUCAUCCCUAUGUUAAUUUGGAACCAGACUGAACUGUUAGUGUUUGCAAUAGUUAGUGUUUGCAUCAGUUAGUAUUUCUCAAGGUUGAGAAUUAUUUAUGAAUUGAUUUUGUGGUUAUGAG